CCUUGUACACACCGCCCGUCACGUCAUGGGAGUCGGCAACACCUGAAGUCGGUCGGCCAACCCGCGAGGGAGGCGGCUGCCGAGGGUGGGGCCGGUGACUGGGACG
rnacentral:rRNA from 1 species